GACGAACGCUGGCGGCGUGCUUAACACAUGCAAGUCGAACGGACAGACAGAGAGCUUGCUCUCUUGAAGUUAGUGGCGAACGGGUGAGUAACGCGUAAUCAACCUGCCCUUCAGAGGGGGAUAACAACGGGAAACCGUUGCUAAUACCGCGUACGAUUCAUGAACGGCAUCGUUUAUGAAUGAAAGGUGGCCUCUAUGUAUAAGCUAUCGCUGAAGGAGGGGAUUGCGUCUGAUUAGCUAGUUGGAGGGGUAACGGCCCACCAAGGCAAUGAUCAGUAGCCGGUCUGAGAGGAUGAACGGCCACAUUGGGACUGAGACACGGCCCAAACUCCUACGGGAGGCAGCAGUGGGGAAUCUUCCGCAAUGGACGAAAGUCUGACGGAGCAACGCCGCGUGAGUGAUGAAGGUCUUCGGAUUGUAAAGCUCUGUUAAUCGGGACGAAAGAGUUCUGCGUGAAUAAUGCAGAAAAGUGACGGUACCCAAAGAAUAAGCACCGGCUAACUUCGUGCCAGCCGCCGCGGUAA
rnacentral:rRNA from 1 species